AGAUUCGAAAUAAGAAAUGCAGUGCGUUGUGAGAGAAAUCGAAUCGCCUGAUCUGUUUGAUUGCCUCUUUGGCGCCAAUGCAACGUAAGUAGAAACAUACCUUGUAUAGAAUGGAACUUCGGAUAUUAUCUUGUUUAUUUUCCACUUGUACCUUUAUAAAACUUCAAAUAAUGUUGAUGACGCGAGCGAUUAAAUCAAAAUCGCGAUCUGUUGCAAAACAAUCGAAUCAACUGUAUGCGUUAAUGGUAUAGUUGGAAUAUAAGGAAAAACCUACCUUCUACGCAAUAUUUUCUACGCGUCACCAGCAAAUUUUAUUUUUUCACUUAACGAAACCACGAAAGAUUGGAAAUAAAAAUUCUGAAAAAGAGAAACACAAAAUACUUGACAGGCAGAAAUUCAAAGCUAAAUGAAAAUUUUUUUACAAUAUUGUCAUAAAUUUCGAAUGUCAGAUUAGGUUGUGAGAAUAAGGUUUAAAAAGUAUGUUCUUCAAAUAUGUUUCCAAGUAUUACAGUAAUAUAAAUAAUUUCCUAAUAAACAUUACAAACGUACCUAGUUUUGCAUAAGUACCUUUAUAUUUAUGAACAGAAAUAUACGUGCUAUUCUAUUAGAUCGUUAUGUCAAUUUAUCUCUCUUUAGAAAACAACUUUUUACAAAACAAGUUGCAAAUUGCACGUAGCAAAAAAAAAAAAAGAAAAAGAAAAAACGGUUACAUCAGCUCUGUCAUCAAGAUGGAAUAAAAAGCGCAGCUUCCUCGAAGUGUUCUCCUCGAAGUCGUUAUGUCUUCAUUUCUCGAUCAUCGUCACUCGUUAAUGGCACGAGCGAGAUCGCACGCGCGUUCAAGAACUUAGUCCAAAAGAAGAUCGCACUCGUGGCCUCUGUUACAUCAUUGCAGUCUGUUCGAUAAGUCGAUACAGUUUGAUUUAUCGAGAACCACGCGUGUGUGGUGUUUUAACGAGCCCCGAGAACGUGUUCGCGGAUCUUCUACGGGUCGGUUUCACAAUCAGGAAAUACCUGACAUUCCAUGGAUCGAUCGUAUCGUGUCGGAUGCAGUAGCGUAGAAACUCGAGAGCUGCAAACGUGAAGGAACUCGUUGCUUGAUGUGCAGGUAGACGCGACAAUCUAUGAACACACGUUAAAUUUGAGAUAUUAUAAUAGUGGCGUUAGCUGUGGCAAUAUUUUUGCUAUAAACCUUUGCGUAAUAGCGAGACAUAUUCGAAGGAAAAUAAUAUAAUUUAGUAAGUGGUAGGAAGGUA